CUACAAGUGGUGGUGAUUUUUUUUGUGGGGAAGGGGGAAUCCUUCUAGCUCCUGUACGGCUCUUGCUUUUCACCUGUAUAUUUAGAUGUACAGGAUGUGUGUGUGGCGGGACAGAGGAAAGUAAACCUGGAGGUGCUGUCAAACCUUCCAACUUCAAGACUAGACUAGACACAUGUGAGAAUGAAACAGCUGGAGAUAUACCUCUAGAAAAACCCCUAGGGAUAUUUCGCAGUCAUCGCUUCAUUGUAUGCAGCCUUAGAGUAAUAAAUUGGUAAUAAUAUGA